rnacentral:rRNA from 1 species
GAUGAACGCUGGCGGCGUGCCUAAUACAUGCAAGUCGAGCGAACAGACGAGGAGCUUGCUCCUCUGACGUUAGCGGCGGACGGGUGAGUAACACGUGGAUAACCUACCUAUAAGACUGGGAUAACUUCGGGAAACCGGAGCUAAUACCGGAUAAUAUAUUGAACCGCAUGGUUCAAUAGUGAAAGACGGUUUUGCUGUCACUUAUAGAUGGAUCCGCGCCGCAUUAGCUAGUUGGUAAGGUAACGGCUUACCAAGGCAACGAUGCGUAGCCGACCUGGGAGGGUGAUCGGCCACACCGGAACUGAGACACGGUCCAGACUCCUACGGGAGGCAGCAGUAGGGAAUCUUCCGCAAUGGGCGAAAGCCUGACGGAGCAACGCCGCGUGAGUGAUGAAGGUCUUCGGAUCGUAAAACUCUGUUAUUAGGGAAGAACAAAUGUGUAAGUAACUAUGCACGUCUUGACGGUACCUAAUCAGAAAGCCACGGCUAACUACGUG